rnacentral:rRNA from 1 species
CUACCAUGCAGUCGAGCGGCAGCGGGUCCUUCGGGAUGCCGGCGAGCGGCGGACGGGUGAGUAAUGCCUAGGAAUCUGCCUGGUAGUGGGGGAUAACUCGGGGAAACUCGAGCUAAUACCGCAUACGUCCUACGGGAGAAAGUGGGGGAUCUUCGGACCUCACGCUAUCAGAUGAGCCUAGGUCGGAUUAGCUAGUUGGUGAGGUAAAGGCUCACCAAGGCGACGAUCCGUAACUGGUCUGAGAGGAUGAUCAGUCACACUGGAACUGAGACACGGUCCAGACUCCUACGGGAGGCAGCAGUGGGGAAUAUUGGACAAUGGGCGAAAGCCUGAUCCAGCCAUGCCGCGUGUGUGAAGAAGGUCUUCGGAUUGUAAAGCACUUUAAGUUGGGAGGAAGGGCAGUAAGUUAAUACCUUGCUGUUUUGACGUUACCAACAGAAUAAGCACCGGCUAACUUCGUGCCAGCAGCCGCGGUAAUACGAAGGGUGCAAGCGUUAAUCGGAAUUACUGGGCGUAAAGCGCGCGUAGGUGGUUCAGCAAGUUGGAGGUGAAAUCCCCGGGCUCAACCUGGGAACUGCCUCCAAAACUACUGGGCUAGAGUAUGGUAGAGGGUGGUGGAAUUUCCUGUGUAGCGGUGAAAUGCGUAGAUAUAGGAAGGAACACCAGUGGCGAAGGCGACCACCUGGACUAAUACUGACACUGAGGUGCGAAAGCGUGGGGAGCAAACAGGAUUAGAUACCCUGGUAGUCCACGCCGUAAACGAUGUCGACUAGCCGUUGGGAUCCUUGAGAUCUUAGUGGCGCAGCUAACGCGAUAAGUCGACCGCCUGGGGAGUACGGCCGCAAGGUUUAAAACUCAAAUGAAUUGACGGGGGCCCGCACAAGCGGUGGANCAUGUGGUUUAAUUCNAANCACCNCGAAAAACCUUACCUGGCCUUGACAUGCUGANANCUUUCCANANAUGGAUUGGUGCCUUCNGGAACUCAAACACAGGUGCUGCAUGGCUGUCCUCANCUCNUGUCCUGAAAUGUUGGGUUAANUCCNUACNANCCCANCCCUUGUCCUUANUUACCAC